rnacentral:tRNA from 2 species
AGCGGAAUGGAGCAGUUGGCAGCUCGUCGGGCUCAUAACCCGAAGGUCGUUGGUUCAAUUCCAACUUCCGCAA